AUGCACGCUAGCGGCAGGCCUAACACCUGCAAGUCGCGGGAGAAGCCUUUCGGGGCAGCAACCGGCGCACGGGUGCGUAACGCGUAUGCAACCUACCUUUCACAGGGGGAUAGCCCGAAGAAAUUUGGAUUAAUACCCCAUAAUAUUGUUGGAUGGCAUCAUCUGAUAAUUAAAACUGCGGUGGUGAAAGAUGGGCAUGCGUCCUAUUAGCUAGUUGGAGUGGUAACGGCACCCCAAGGCUACGAUAGGUAGGGGUCCUGAGAGGGAGAUCCCCCACACUGGUACUGAGACAGGGACCAGACUCCUACGGGAGGCAGCAGUGAGGAAUAUUGGUCAAUGGUCGGAAGACUGAACCAGCCAUGCCGCGUGCAGGAAGAAUGCCUUAUGGGUUGUAAACUGCUUUUAUAUGGGAAGAAUAAGGUGUACGUGUACAUUGAUGACGGUACCAUAUGAAUAAGCAUCGGCUAACUCCGUG
rnacentral:rRNA from 1 species